rnacentral:rRNA from 1 species
GAUGAACGCUGGCGGCGUGCCUAAUACAUGCAAGUCGAGCGAACAGAUGAGGAGCUUGCUCCUCUGACGUUAGCGGCGGACGGGUGAGUAACACGUGGAUAACCUACCUAUAAGACUGGGAUAACUUCGGGAAACCGGAGCUAAUACCGGAUAAUAUAUUGAACCGCAUGGUUCAAUAGUGAAAGACGGUUUUGCUGUCACUUAUAGAUGGAUCCGCGCCGCAUUAGCUAGUUGGUAAGGUAACGGCUUACCAAGGCAACGAUGCGUAGCCGACCUGAGAGGGUGAUCGGCCACACUGGAACUGAGACACGGUCCAGACUCCUACGGGAGGCAGCAGUAGGGAAUCUUCCGCAAUGGGCGAAAGCCUGACGGAGCAACGCCGCGUGGGUGAUGAAGGUCUUCGGGUCGUAAAACUCUGUUAUUAGGGAAGAACAAAGUUGGAAGUAAAUAUGCACGUCUUGACGGUACCUAAUCAGGAAGCCACGGCUAACUACGUG